rfam:Lichtheimia corymbifera JMRC:FST:9682, FST 9682, WGS project CBTN01000000 data, contig: SCAF00098
GCUGUUAUAGUUCAAUGGUAGAACGGUAAACUGUUAAUUUAUGAAUAGAGGUUCGAUUCCUCUUAACGGCU